rnacentral:rRNA from 1 species
CCGGGAACUCAAAGGAGACUGCCAGUGAUAAACUGGAGGAAGGUGGGGAUGACGUCAAGUCAUCAUGGCCCUUACGACCAGGGCUACACACGUGCUACAAUGGCAUAUACAAAGAGAAGCGACCUCGCGAGAGCAAGCGGACCUCAUAAAGUAUGUCGUAGUCCGGAUUGGAGUCUGCAACUCGACUCCAUGAAGUCGGAAUCGCUAGUAAUCGUAGAUCAGAAUGCUACGGUGAAUACGUUCCCGGGCCUUGUACACACCGCCCGUCACACCAUGGGAGUGGGUUGCAAAAGAAGUAGGUAGCUUAACCUUCGGGAGGGCGCUUACCACUUUGUGAUUCAUGACUGGGGUGAAGUCGUAACAAGGUAACCGUAGGGGAACCUGCGGUUGGAUCACCUCCUUA